GACGAACGCUGGCGGCGUGCUUAACACAUGCAAGUCGAACGGAAAGGCCCUGCUUUUGUGGGGUGCUCGAGUGGCGAACGGGUGAGUAACACGUGAGUAACCUGCCCUUGACUUUGGGAUAACUCCAGGAAACUGGGGCUAAUACCGGAUAGGAGCUCCUGCUGCAUGGUGGGGGUUGGAAAGUUUCGGCCGUUGGGGAUGGACUCGCGGCUUAUCCGCUUGUUGGGGGAGUAGGGGCGUACCAAGGCUUUGACGGGUAGCCGGCCUUAGAGGGUGACCGGCCACAAUGGGACUGAGGGACGGACCAGACUGCUACGGGAGGCAGCAGUGGGGAAUCUUGCACAGUGGGCGGAAGCCUGAUGCAGCAGCGCCGCGUGCGGGAUGACGGCCUUCGGGUUGUGAACCGCUUUCGCCUGUGACGAAGCGUGAGUGACGGUAAUGGGUAAGAAAGCACCGGCUAACUACGUG
rnacentral:rRNA from 1 species